rnacentral:snRNA from 1 species
GUGCUUGCUUCAGCAGCACAUAUACUAAAAGUGAAACGAUACAGAGAAGAUCAGCAUGGCCCAUGCAUGAGGAUGACUUUGUGAAGCACUCUAUAUUUUU